rnacentral:ncRNA from 1 species
GUAGAGUAGAUAUCAUACGUAAAGUGUCACCGGAGGGGGAGGCUUCCUGUGAACGAAGGGUUUUCCGCGUUAUGGUAUCGCUUCCGCUA